rnacentral:tRNA from 1 species
CACGAUGGUUAUCGUGAUGAGUGUCCACACAGAUUGAUUCGGUUUAGAUUAGAGAAGAGUAUCUUAGUGUCCCGUUCGUCUAGAGGCCUAGGACACCGCCCUUUCACGGCGGUAACAGGGGUUCGACUCCCCUACGGGAUACCACUUCCCUUGAGAAGUUAAUGGGUCGUUAGCUCAGUGGUAGAGCAGUGGGCUUUUAACCAAUUGGUCAUAGGUUCAAAUCCUAUACGACCCACCAUUUCCUUCCUCCACAGGAAGUAAAACAUGUGGGCGAUUAGCUCAGUUGGGAGAGCACCUGCCUUACAAGCAGGGGGUCACUGGUUCGAACCCGGUAUCGCCCACCACUCUUUAAGCAUUUUUGGAAUACAUUUCCAAACCACCCAACACUGCGUGGUUCAGAUUUUUGCCGCCGAAAGUCCUUAAAAGUGGCUCUUAGUGAUAAAAUUACUUUGCUCUUUACAAUUUGGAAGCUGACAAACAACAAUUUUUGUUGUUUGUAAAGUUUGUAAAGUUCUCAAUGUUUAUCGAAAGAUAAACACCAACAACACAUUCAAGUGUGCUUGGUAUCGAAUAAGACUUCGGUCUUGUUCAAAUUUGAGUCCGGCAAAAUCUGUCUCGCACUCAUGUAAAUUAAACGCGAGACAACUUAGGUUGUUUAAACAGCAACCCGAAACUCCUUCGGGUUGUAU